rnacentral:rRNA from 1 species
GACGAACGCUGGCGGCGUGCUUAACACAUGCAAGUCGAGCGAGUGGCGGACGGGUGAGUAAUGUCUGGGAAACUGCCUGAUGGAGGGGGAUAACUACUGGAAACGGUAGCUAAUACCGCAUACCAUCGGAUGUGCCCAGAGGGGAUUAGCUAGUAGGUGGGGUAACGGCUCACCUAGGCGACGAUCCCUAGCUGGUCUGAGAGGAUGACCAGCCACACUGGAUCUGAGACACGGUCACGACUCCUACGGGAGGAAGCAGUGGGGAUGAUUGAACAAUGGGCGCAAGCCGUAUGCAGCCAUGCCGCGUGUAUGAAGAAGGCCUUCGGGUGGUAAAGUACUUUCAGCGGGGAGGCGUUACCCGCAGAAGAAGCACCGGCUAACUCCGUGCCAGCAGCCGCGGUAAUA